GCGGCCGUGGCGGAAUUGGUAGACGCGCUAGCUUGAGGUGCUAGUUCCUAACCGAGUGCUGGUUCGAGUCCAGUCGGCCGCACCA
rnacentral:tRNA from 1 species